AAAGAUAGCCCCUUCGUACGAAAGGAGUUGGGUAUGUUGAUCUAUGGUUUACUUGUUGUUUAUAAUGCAAUAUUUUUGCCGCUUACUUUUACUUAAGUAAGUUGUUUAUAGGCAUGGCAAGAAAGCUACAUCAAUUAGAGAUAAGUGCUGAAUGCAUUUAAGCGCGAAACUCACUUUAAGA
rnacentral:ncRNA from 1 species